rnacentral:rRNA from 1 species
UACGUAGGGGGCAAGCGUUGUCCGGAUUUACUGGGCGUAAAGAGCGUGUAGGCGGCCACGCAGGUCCGUUGUGAAAACUGAAGGCUCAACCUCCAGACGUCGACGGAAACCGUAUGGCUAGAGUCCGGAAGAGGAGAGUGGAAUUCCUGGUGUAGCGGUGAAAUGCGCAGAUAUCAGGAAGAACACCGAUGGCGAAGGCAGCCCCCUGGGCUAACACUGACGCUCAUGCACGAAAGCGUGGGGAGCAAACAGG